rnacentral:rRNA from 1 species
AUGGCUCCUACCGAGGCUGAGGCUGAUGUAGAGGAGGGAGAAGAGAAGAAGAAGAGGGAAAGGAAAGCAGCCGGAGCUGCUUUCACGUGGAUUCAAAAUAACUUUGCGACGUGCCCUCCGGAUGCCACUGAUGAUGUGAUCCAGACACAUGCUCGUGUGUAUAUGUGGUACGUUGUGUCGAGGACUUUGUUUCCUGACUCCACUGGCAAGAAUGCUCCAUGGAUGUGGCUGAAGGCGUUGACCGUCUUUGAUAGCAAAUGGAGCUGGGGUUCAGCGACUCUUGCGUACUUGUACCGACAUGGAGUUGGUCUAUUUUGUGAUCAACUCAUUUAUUCAUUAGCAAUGCAAGCUUGA